rnacentral:rRNA from 1 species
UACGUAGGGUGCAAGCGUUGUCCGGAAUUAUUGGGCGUAAAGAGCUCGUAGGCGGUUUGUUGCGUCGGCUGUGAAAUCCCGAGGCUCAACCUCGGGUCUGCAGUCGAUACGAGCAAACUAGAGUGUUGCAGGGGAGACUGGAAUUCCUGGUGUAGCGGUGAAAUGCGCAGAUAUCAGGAGGAACACCGGUGGCGAAGGCGGGUCUCUGGGCAACAACUGACGCUGAGGAGCGAAAGCAUGGGGGAGCGAACAGG